rnacentral:rRNA from 1 species
AAUGGCCGAAAGGCUGAACCAGUAACUUGAAAGAAUGUACAAUGGAUAACCGCAUAUAAAGUUCUAGGUAUAAAAGGAAUGAUGACUAAUUUAUGUCUAUAAGUAUUGACCAAAUUACGUGCCAGCCGUCGCGGUAAUACGUAAAAUACAAGUGUUAUUCAUCUUUAAUGGGUUUAAAGGGUACCUAGACGGAAAAUCAAGCCAUAAAAGGGACUAAUAUUCUAGAGUUUUAUAAGAGAAAGAAGAACUGUUAGAGGAGAGAUGAAAUUCUUUGAUACUAACAAGACUGGGAACAGCGAAGGCGUUUUUCUAUGUAAAAA